UUUCUUCAGCGCGAAGCUGAAGUUGCGACCGAUGUACUUUCUGGUGCCAAAAAUAAUAAAUGAAGUGAACGUAAACAGUAAUGUGUGAUUCCCUUCCUCAAUAUGGAUGCUGAAGCUGGAAACGCAACAGGUUAUGGGCCCAGGCACAGCACAGGAGGAAGAUGGCAAAGAUUAGUUUUCGACGGAGAUGAAAACAACUACGAACUUUGGGAGGUAAAGUUCCUCGGCCAUUUAAGAAUAAUAGGCCUAAAAGACAAUACUUUCCGACGACCCAGAUCAAGAAAAGAAUGCAGAAUGCUACGCGGAGCUAAUCCAAUUCCUCGACGACAAAAUGAAAACGCAGUAGAAAAGUAGCUUUUGUUGCUGUGCAGAGUAUCCUUGUUUUACAGGAAAACAGAAGAAGAAGAACCAAGGCCAGGGGAGCAAGUCAGCAGCACAUCAGAGAAGGGAGGAAGCGGAACUUGCCCAGCUGCCUGUGCAUCAACACUCAGUCACACAACUCUGUUAGAUUAUAAAAACACUGGGUCAGGGAGAAAUAGCCAGUCUGAUUCUGCUUGAACUGACUGAACAUUUGUUGUCUGUUAGGGAAAGGCAUUCGGACCCAGAGCUCUGUAUUGCACAUUCAAUCUUGGUGUAAUAAAGACUCUUUUUAACCUGAA